GGUGGCUCAGUGGUAGAGUGCUUGCCUCAUAUGCAUGAGCCCUGGGUUCGAUUCCUCAGCACCA
rfam:Dipodomys ordii contig_65146, whole genome shotgun sequence.